rnacentral:rRNA from 1 species
GUAGUCCACACUGUAAACGAUGAAUGCUAGGUGUAGGAGGUAUCGACCCCUUCUGUGCCGGAGUUAACACAAUAAGCAUUCCGCCUGGGGAGUACGGCCGCAAGGUUGAAACUCAAAGGAAUUGACGGGGGCCCGCACAAGCAGCGGAGCAUGUUGUUUAAUUCGAAGCAACGCGAAGAACCUUACCAGGUCUUGACAUCCAUUAAAAGCCAUAGAGAUAUGGUGUGAGCUUGCUCGUAAUGAGACAGGUGGUGCAUGGUUGUCGUCAGCUCGUGUCGUGAGGUGUUGGGUUAAGUCCCGCAAUGAGCGCAACCCCUGUUGUUAGUUGCCAGCAUGUAAAGAUGGGCACUCUAGCGAGACUGCCGGUGACAAAUCGGAGGAAGGUGGGGACGACGUCAAAUCAUCAUGCCCCUUAUGUCCUGGGCUACACACGUACUACAAUGGCUAUAACAGCAGGAUGCGAAGCGGUAACGCGGAGCAAAUCCCUAAAAAUAGUCCCAGUUCGGAUUGUGGGCUGAAACCCGCCCGCAUGAAGUUGGAAUUGCUAGUAAUGGCAGGUCAGCAUACUGCCGUGAAUACGUUCCCGGGCCUUGUACACACCGCCCGUCACACCAUGAGAGUCUGCAACACCCGAAGUCAGUAGUCUAACCGUAAGGAGGGCGCUGCCGAAGGUGGGGCCGAUGAUUGGGGUG